UACAGAGGGGGGCAAGCGUUGUUCGGAAUUACUGGGCGUAAAGUGUGCGCAGGUGGCCGCGCAAGUCGAGUGUGAAAAUCCCCCGAGCUUAACUUGGGAAUUGCGCUCGAAACUACGUGGCUCGAGUGUGGCAGAGGAAGGUGGAAUUCCACGUGUAGCGGUGAAAUGCGUAGAGAUGUGGAGGAACACCGAUGGCGAAGGCAGCCUUCUGGGCCAACACUGACGCUCAUGCACGAAAGCGUGGGGAGCAAACAGG
rnacentral:rRNA from 1 species